AUUGAACGCUGGCGGCAUGCUUUACACAUGCAAGUCGAACGGUAACAGGCCGCAAGGUGCUGACGAGUGGCGAACGGGUGAGUAAUGCAUCGGAACGUGCCCAGUCGUGGGGGAUAACGCAGCGAAAGCUGCGCAAAUACCGCAUACGACCUAUGGAUGAAAGCGGGGGACCGUAAGGCCUCGCGCGAUUGGAGCGGCCGAUGCGAGAUUAGGUAGUUGGUGGGGUAAAGGCUGACCAAGCCAACGAUCUGUAGCUGGUCUGAGAGGACGACCAGCCACACUGGGACUGAGACACGGCCCAGACUCCUACGGGAGGCAGCAGUGGGGAAUUUUGGACAAUGGGCGCAAGCCUGAUCCAGCAAUGCCGCGUGCAGGAAGAAGGCCUUCGGGUUGUAAACUGCUUUUGUACGGAACGAAACGGUCCUGGUUAAUACCUGGGGCUAAUGACGGUACCGUAAGAAUAAGCACCGGCUAACUACGUGCCAGCCGCCGCGGUAACAC
rnacentral:rRNA from 1 species